GAUGAACGCUGGCGGCGUGCCUAAUACAUGCAAGUCGAGCGAACAGACGAGGAGCUUGCUCCUCUGACGUUAGCGGCGGACGGGUGAGUAACACGUGGAUAACCUACCUAUAAGACUGGGAUAACUUCGGGAAACCGGAGCUAAUACCGGAUAAUAUAUUGAACCGCAUGGUUCAAUAGUGAAAGACGGUUUUGCUGUCACUUAUAGAUGGAUCCGCGCCGCAUUAGCUAGUUGGUAAGGUAACGGCUUACCAAGGCAACGAUGCGUAGCCGACCUGAGAGGGUGAUAGGCAACACUGGAACUGGGACACGGUCCAGACUCCUACGGGAGGCAGCAGUAGGGAAUCUUCCGCAAUGGGCGAAAGCCUGACGGAGCAACGCCGCGUGAGUGAUGAAGGUCUUCGGAUCGUAAAACUCUGUUAUUAGGGAAGAACAAAUGUGUAAGUAACUAUGCACGUCUUGACGGUACCUAAUCAGAAAGCCACGGCUAACUACGUG
rnacentral:rRNA from 1 species